rnacentral:rRNA from 1 species
CGUAGGGUGCAAGCGUUAAUCGGAAUUACUGGGCGUAAAGCGUGCGCAGGCGGUUUUGUAAGUCUGACGUGAAAUCCCCGGGCUCAACCUGGGAAUUGCGUUGGAGACUGCAAGGCUAGAAUCUGGCAGAGGGGGGUAGAAUUCCACGUGUAGCAGUGAAAUGCGUAGAGAUGUGGAGGAACACCGAUGGCGAAGGCAGCCCCCUGGGUCAAGAUUGACGCUCAUGCACGAAAGCGUGGGGAGCAAACAGGAUUAGAUACCCUGGUAGUCCACGCCCUAAACGAUGUCUACUAGUUGUCGGGUUUUAAUUAACUUGGUAACGCAGCUAACGCGUGAAGUAGACCGCCUGGGGAGUACGGUCGCAAGAUUAAAACUCAAAGGAAUUGACGGGGACCCGCACAAGCGGUGGAUGAUGUGGAUUAAUUCGAA